rnacentral:rRNA from 1 species
GAUGAACGCUGGCGGCGUGCCUAAUACAUGCAAGUCGAGCGAACAGACGAGGAGCUUGCUCCUCUGACGUUAGCGGCGGACGGGUGAGUAACACGUGGAUAACCUACCUAUAAGACUGGGAUAACUUCGGGAAACCGGAGCUAAUACCGGAUAAUAUAUUGAACCGCAUGGUUCAAUAGUUAAAUACGGUUUUGCUGUCACUUAUAGAUGGAUCCGCGCCGCAUUAGCUAGUUGGUAAGGUAACGGCUUACCAAGGCUACGAUGCGUAGCCGACCUGAGAGGGUGAUCGGCCACACUGGAACUGAGACACGGUCCAGACUCCUACGGGAGGCAGCAGCAGGGAAUCUUCCGCAAUGGGCGAAAGCCUGACGGAGCAACGCCGCGUGAGUGAUGAAGGUCUUCGGAUCGUAAAACUCUGUUAUUAGGGAAGAACAAAUGUGUAAGUAACUAUGCACGUCUUGACGGUACCUAAUCAGAAAGCCACGGCUAACUACGUG